rnacentral:rRNA from 1 species
AAGGAACUCGGCAAAUUGACCCCGUAACUUCGGGAGAAGGGGUGCUCCAGAGAUGGAGCCGCAGAGAAUCGGCCCAAGCAACUGUUUACCAAAAACACAGGUUUGUGCUAAAUCGAAAGAUGACGUAUACGAGCUGACGCCUGCCCGGUGCUGGAAGGUUAAGAGGAGAUGUGCAAGCAUUGAAUCGAAGCCCCAGUGAACGGCGGCCGUAACUAUAACGGUCCUAAGGUAGCGAAAUUCCUUGUCAGGUAAGUUCUGACCCGCAUGAAAGGCGUAAUGAUUUGGGCACUGUCUCGACAGCCCGCCCGGCGAAAUUGUAGUACCGGUGAAGAUGCCGGUUACCCGCGACAAGACGGAAAGACCCCAUGGAGCUUUACUGUAGCCUAAUAUUGGGUUUCGAUGUUGCAUGCACAGGAUAGAUGGGACACAGGGAAACAAGUGCUUUGGCAUUUGUGGAGUGGCCGUUGGGAUACCAUCCUUGCGAUAUUGGAAUUCUAACCUGCGCCUUUGAAUCAAGGCGGGGGACAUUGUUAGGUGGGCAGUUUGACUGGGGCGGUCGCCUCCUAAAGAGUAACGGAGGCGUUCAAAGGUUCGCUCAGCUUGAACGGAAAUCAAGCAAAAGAGUGCAAACGCAGAAGCGAGCCUAACUGCGAGACUGACGGGUCGAGCAGUAACGAAAGUUGGAGUUAGUGAUCCGGUGGUAUGUGAGUGGAAAUGCCAUCGCUCAACGGAUAAAAGUUACCCUGGGGAUAACAGGCUGAUCUCCCCCAAGAGUCCACAUCGACGGGGAGGUUUGGCACCUCGAUGUCGGCUCAUCGCAUCCUGGGGCUGUAUUCGGUCCCAAGGGUUUGGCUGUUCGCCAAUUAAAGCGGUACGCGAGCUGGGUUCAGAACGUCGUGAGACAGUUCGGUCCCUAU